rnacentral:lncRNA from 1 species
AAGAAGGAAAAAAAAAAGAAUGAAAUGCAGCUAAACGGUUUUGCUGACAUCUUCUUGUCUCAUUUCAUUCACAGAGUGUGAACCCCUGGAGUUUUACAACCAUUUGAAAUUCAAAGGCAAAUGCUGAGAGCACACCAUCAUGAGAAUUGGCACCAAUGAAAAAGUUUGUCAAAACUGCUUUGGCACUGAACCACUGAAUGUUUUCGGCACAAGUAGAAAGCUGACACCAUUCAUAGACAACUCAUGGGCCAACCCGAAGGAAAGAUGUCAGAUCCACUGAAAAUCUUUCCUUGCAAUUACUGUAUGAUUUCAACAUUGAAGUCUAUAAGAAAUACUAUUUUUCUCUGAAGUGUGUUGUGUGGCAUCCUUUUCUUUACCCAUCGAAGGUUUGUCCUCUCUCUUCCUUAGAACUUGAACAUGCAUUUUGGAAACCUGCUAGUGAUUUUAAAUUUCAAAACAGAUAACAAACAUGAUUCAUGUACUAUGACUCAUCCCUCGUAAAUGUUCUAAUUGUAUAAACUACAUCCUUCAAAGCAUCCUACAGACACAUUAAAUGUUAAUAAACACAUUUAAAAGUGCCAAGAGGUAUGAUUCCUUCGUACUCACUGACAAAACUGUAACCAGUUCUCUACUUUGUGUCUACAAUUCAAAAUAAAGCUACAAAGCUGGUGGGCCUUGAAUUUUUAACCUUAGGCUUGAACCCACCAGCUCUAAAAUCAUAGUAGCCAUACCUGGAAUAUCAGUGGCAAUCAACUUUACUUCCAUAUGCAUGGUUUUCUAUAAUUUUUCCAGUUGUUUCUUCAAAUAAAUAAAAUU